rnacentral:pre_miRNA from 8 species
AAGAUCUUGACAUAGGCCUUCUCAGUUCUUCCCCAAGUUAGGAAUAGCUGAGUUGAGAGGGGGAAAAGAAAUCUUAA